rnacentral:rRNA from 1 species
GUAGGGUGCGAGCGUUGUCCGGAAUUACUGGGCGUAAAGAGCUCGUAGGCGGUUUGUCGCGUCGUCUGUGAAAUUCUGCAACUCAAUUGUAGGCGUGCAGGCGAUACGGGCAGACUUGAGUACUACAGGGGAGACUGGAAUUCCUGGUGUAGCGGUGAAAUGCGCAGAUAUCAGGAGGAACACCGGUGGCGAAGGCGGGUCUCUGGGUGGUAACUGACGCUGAGGAGCGAAAGCGUGGGUAGCGAACAGGAUUAGAUACCCUGGUAGUCCACGCCGUAAACGGUGGGUACUAGGUGUGGGUUCCUUUUCACGGAAUCUGUGCCGUAGCUAACGCAUUAAGUACCCCGCCUGGGGAGUACGGCCGCAAGGCU